rnacentral:rRNA from 1 species
GACGAACGCUGGCGGCGUGCUUAACACAUGCAAGUCGAACGGAAAGGCCUCUUUCGGGGGGUACUCGAGUGGCGAACGGGUGAGUAACACGUGAGUAACCUGCCCUUGACUUUGGGAUAACUUCAGGAAACUGGGGCUAAUACCGGAUAGGAGCUCCUGCUGCAUGGUGGGGGUUGGAAAGUUUCGGCGGUUGGGGAUGGACUCGCGGCUUAUCAGCUUGUUGGUGGGGUAGUGGCUUACCAAGGCUUUGACGGGUAGCCGGCCUGAGAGGGUGACCGGCCACAUUGGGACCGAGAUACGGCCCAGACUCCUACGGGGGGCAGCAGUGGGGAAUAUUGCACAAUGGGUGGAAGCCUGAUGCAGCAACGCCGUGUGCGGGAUGACGGCCUUCGGGUUGUAAACCGCUUUCGCUCAUGACGAAGCUUUGUGUGACGGUAGUGGGUAAAGAAGCACCGGCUAACUACGUG